ACGACGGUCAAUAGGAAGAGCGGCAACGUCGGUUGUAAUAUGUCAAAUCAUAAAUAAGGCUUCUAUCAAAUACUCAUAACAAUGGAGGUACACGAGUGUACUUUGUUUACCGUUGUUUACUUUUCUUGACGUAAGUGAAGACGCUAUUUCAAGAAAUUUGAAGUGCUAAUUCAUUAAAAUAUGUACGCUUUCAUGACUGUGCCUCAACUUAAAGUUGAGGUUCGUAAAAGAAAUGCGUCAAUUGCCGGAAAAAAAGGCUAAUUUGAUAGAAAGAUUGCAAUCUAAUGACCGGAAUAAAAAUUUUGGUGUUGACUGCGAGAUCCAAGAGGAGAUCGCAUAUCUGAGUCCAGCCACUGAUACUUUCAGAGACAUAAUUGCGGACACUUCUUUACCAAUGAUUACGAGACAAGCAAUACAGGAAUAUUUUGAAAGUUAUGUACCCAUAUGUAAUGAUUAUAAUCUUAGGCAGUUGUUUACAAAGAUGACAGUGUAAAUUUUAUGUAUUUAAAUUGAUAUAAUACUCAGCAUAAAGGACAACUCCUGUACGAAUUUCGACAUCUUGUGACUGCCCGCUAUUCCACAGAUGGCAUUUAUACCCACUUGCGAGGACAAUGUAAAGCCAGUAUGAAAAAAAUGGUAUACUUUGUGGAUAUAAAAUUAAGUAAAGAUGGAGUAAUUGAAGAAUGCCAUUGCGAUUGUGCUGCAGGCAGUGGUACUCAAGCAUGUUGCAAACAUGUCUCUGUAUUGUUGGAUGGUACACAAAAAAAAUAUUAAAUUGCAUCUGUCAAGUACUCAAAAA
rnacentral:misc_RNA from 1 species